rnacentral:rRNA from 1 species
GUAAGUUAACGGUAAAUCCUGGAGCUCAACUCCAGAACAGCCGCUAAUACUAUCUGACUAGAGGAUGGGAGAGGUCAACGGAAUUGCCGGUGUAGUAGUAAAAUGCAUUGAUAUCGGCAGGAACACCAAAAGCGAAGGCAGUUGACUGGAACAUUCCUGACGCUGAGAGACGAAAGCGUGGGUAGCGAAAGGGAUUAGAUACCCCUGUAGUCCACGCCGUAAACGAUGGAUGCUAGGUGCUGGAAGUUUCGACCCUUUCAGUGCCGGGUAGUCAAGCUAACGCCUUAAGCAUCCCGCCUGGGAAGUACGGCCGCAAGGCUAAAACUCAAAGGAAUUGACGGGGACCCGCACAAGCGGUGGAGCAUGUGGUUUAAUUCGACGAUAAGCGGAGAACCUCACCAAGGUUUGACAUCUCUGGAAGUUUUUAGAAAUAAAAAUGUGCCUUCGGGAACCAGAUGACAGGUGCUGCAUGGUUGCCGUCAGCUCGUGUCGUGAGAUGUACGGUUAAGUCCGGCAACGAGCGCAACCCUCGUCCUAUGUUAUAUUUUUCAUAGGAGACUGCCAGCUUUAAGCUGGAGGAAGGUGGGGACGACGUCAAAUCAGCAUGGCCCUUAUACCUUGGGCUACACACGUGCUACAAUGGGUAAGACAACGGGCAGCUAAGCCGCAAGGUGUAGCGAAUCCCUUAAACUUAUCCUCAGUUCGGAUUGAGGUCUGCAACUCGACCUCAUGAAGUGGAAUCGCUAGUA